rnacentral:lncRNA from 1 species
CUUUUACUUCCUCUAGAUAGUCAAGUUCAGCCGUCUUCUCAGCGCUCAACCAGGGCAAUGGGCCAACUCCAGUGGGGCCAAUCUGAGGGCCUCACUAAACCAUCAAAUCUGGAGUAGUGAUGAGCAGUGCGUAUAAAGGGCAGGAUCUUAAUCAAUGUAAGCUUAUGACCCACACUUACUGGGAGCUCCUCAUUCAUGGGGAAUAAUCGCAAUCCUUGAUCCCCAUCACAAAUGCAGUUCAGUGGGUUACCUGUGCCUGCUGGUGUGGGGUAGGCACACACAAAGCCAGUCAAUGUAGUGUGUGUGCAGCCUUGGACAACUAAGGGCAUCCCAGACUCGCUGUUGCUCAAUCUUGUGUGGCUGAAUGCCACUCAUCCC